GCGCACCAGGCGCGAAACCUCCGCAAUACACGAAAGUGUGACGGGGCCAUCCCGAGUGCCGUCCGCUGAGGACGGCUUUUCCCCAGUGUACAUAGCUGGGGGAAUAAGGAGAGGGCAAGCCUGGUGUCAGCCGCCGCGGUAAUACCAGCUCUCCGAGUGGUGGGGACGCUUAUUGGGCCUAAAGCAUCCGUAGCCGGCUAGGCAAGUCCUCCGUUAAAAUCCAACGAUUCAAUCGUUGGGCUGCGGGGGAUACUGUCCAGCUUGGGGGCGGGAGAGGCCGACGGUAUUCCCGGGGUAGGGGCGAAAUCCUAUAAUCCCGGGAGGACCACCAGUGGCGAAGGCUGUCGGCUAGAACGCGCCCGACGGUGAGGGAUGAAAGCUGGGGGAGCGAACCGGAUUAGAUACCGUGUAGU
rnacentral:rRNA from 1 species